rnacentral:rRNA from 1 species
GACGAACGCUGGCGGCGUGCUUAACACAUGCAAGUCGAACGGAAAGGCCCUGCUUUUGUGGGGUGCUCGAGUGGCGAACGGGUGAGUAACACGUGAGUAACCUGCCCUUGACUUUGGGAUAACUUCAGGAAACUGGGGCUAAUACCGGAUAGGAGCUCCUGCUGCAUGGUGGGGGUUGGAGAGUUUCGGCGGUUGGGGAUGGACUCGCGGCUUAUCAGCUUGUUGGUGGGGUAGUGGCUUACCAAGGCUUUGACGGGUAGCCGGCCUGAGAGGGUGACCGGCCACAUUGGGACUGAGAUACGGCCCAGACUCCUACGGGAGGCAGCAGUGGGGAAUAUUGCACAAUGGGCGGAAGCCUGAUGCAGCAACGCCGCGUGCGGGAUGACGGCCUUCGGGUUGUAAACCGCUUUCGCCUGUGACGAAGCGUGAGUGACGGUAAUGGGUAAAGAAGCACCGGCUAACUACGUGCCAGCAGCCGCGGUGACACGUAGGGUGCGAGCGUUGUCCGGAUUUAUUGGGCGUAAAGGGCUCGUAGGUGGUUGAUCGCGUCGGAAGUGUAAUCUUGGGGCUUAACCCUGAGCGUGCUUUCGAUACGGGUUGACUUGAGGAAGGUAGGGGAGAAUGGAAUUCCUGGUGGAGCGGUGGAAUGCGCAGAUAUCAGGAGGAACACCAGUGGCGAAGGCGGUUCUCUGGGCCUUUCCUGACGCUGAGGAGCGAAAGCGUGGGGAGCGAACAGGCUUAGAUACCCUGGUAGUCCACGCUGUAAACGGUGGGUACUAGGUGUGGGGUCCAUUCCACGGGUUCCGUGCCGUAGCUAACGCUUUAAGUACCCCGCCUGGGGAGUACGGCCGCAAGGCUAAAACUCAAAGGAAUUGACGGGGCCCCGCACAAGCGGCGGAGCAUGCGGAUUAAUUCGAUGCAACGCGUAGAACCUUACCUGGGUUUGACAUGGAUCGGGAGCGCUCAGAGAUGGGUGUGCCUCUUUUGGGGUCGGUUCACAGGUGGUGCAUGGCUGUCGUCAGCUCGUGUCGUGAGAUGUUGGGUUAAGUCCCGCAACGAGCGCAACCCUUGUUCACUGUUGCCAGCACGUUAUGGUGGGGACUCAGUGGAGACCGCCGGGGUCAACUCGGAGGAAGGUGGGGAUGACGUCAAGUCAUCAUGCCCCUUAUGUCCAGGGCUUCACGCAUGCUACAAUGGCUGGUACAGAGAGUGGCGAGCCUGUGAGGGUGAGCGAAUCUCGGAAAGCCGGUCUCAGUUCGGAUUGGGGUCUGCAACUCGACCUCAUGAAGUCGGAGUCGCUAGUAAUCGCAGAUCAGCAACGCUGCGGUGAAUACGUUCCCGGGGCU